AUUCCAGCUCCAAUAGCGUAUAUUAAAGUUGUUGCAGUUAAAAAGCUCGUAGUUGGAUUUCUGAUAGGGAGCCGAUCACCACUGUUGUGAGUGUUAGGUACCUGUCAUCCUUCUGUUAACCCCUGCGGCAUUCAUUUGUCGUUGGGCGGACCAGAUACUUUACCUUGAGAAAAUUAGAGUGUUCAAAGCGGGCAUACGCUUGAAUAUAUUAGCAUGGAAUAACACUAUAGGACUUCUGUUCUAUUUUGUUGGUCUUCGGAACGGAAGUAAUGAUUAAGAGGAACAGUUGGGGGCAUUCGUAUUUCAUUGUCAGAGGUGAAAUUCUUGGAUUUAUGAAAGACGAACUUCUGCGAAAGCAUUUGCCAAGGAUGUUUUCAUCG
rnacentral:rRNA from 1 species